UGAACGCUGGCGGCGUGCCUAAUACAUGCAAGUCGAACGAGUUCUGAUUAUUGAAAGGUGCUUGCAUCUUGAUUUAAUUUCGAACGAGUGGCGGACGGGUGAGUAACACGUGGGUAACCUGCCCUUAAGUGGGGGAUAACAUUUGGAAACAGAUGCUAAUACCGCAUAAAUCCAAAAACCGCAUGGUUCUUGGCUGAAAGAUGGCGUAAGCUAUCGCUUUUGGAUGGACCCGCGGCGUAUUAGCUAGUUGGUGAGGUAACGGCUCACCAAGGCAAUGAUACGUAGCCGAACUGAGGGGUUGAUCGGCCACAUUGGGACUGAGACACGGCCCAAACUCCUACGGGAGGCAGCAGUAGGGAAUCUUCCACAAUGGACGCAAGUCUGAUGGAGCAACGCCGCGUGAGUGAAGAAGGCUUUCGGGUCGUAAAACUCUGUUGUUGGAGAAGAAUGGUCGGCAGAGUAACUGUUGUCGGCGUGACGGUAUCCAACCAGAAAGCCACGGCUAACUACGUGCCAGCAGCCGCGGUAAUACGUAGGUGGCAAGCGUUAUCCGGAUUUAUUGGGCGUAAAGCGAGCGCAGGCGGUUUUUUAAGUCUGAUGUGAAAGCCCUCGGCUUAACCGAGGAAGUGCAUCGGAAACUGGGAAACUUGAGUGCAGAAGAGGACAGUGGAACUCCAUGUGUAGCGGUGAAAUGCGUAGAUAUAUGGAAGAACACCAGUGGCGAAGGCGGCUGUCUGGUCUGUAACUGACGCUGAGGCUCGAAAGCAUGGGUAGCGAACAGGAUUAGAUACCCUGGUAGUCCAUGCCGUAAACGAUGAAUGCUAGGUGUUGGAGGGUUUCCGCCCUUCAGUGCCGCAGCUAACGCAUUAAGCAUUCCGCCUGGGGAGUACGACCGCAAGGUUGAAACUCAAAGGAAUUGACGGGGGCCCGCACAAGCGGUGGAGCAUGUGGUUUAAUUCGAAGCAACGCGAAGAACCUUACCAGGUCUUGACAUCUUCUGAUCACCUGAGAGAUCAGGUUUCCCCUUCGGGGGCAAAAUGACAGGUGGUGCAUGGUUGUCGUCAGCUCGUGUCGUGAGAUGUUGGGUUAAGUCCCGCAACGAGCGCAACCCUUAUGACUAGUUGCCAGCAUUUAGUUGGGCACUCUAGUAAGACUGCCGGUGACGAACCGGAGGAAGGUGGGGAUGACGUCAAAUCAUCAUGCCCCUUAUGACCUGGGCUACACACGUGCUACAAUGGAUGGUACAACGAGUUGCGAGACCGCGAGGUCAAGCUAAUCUCUUAAAGCCAUUCUCAGUUCGGACUGUAGGCUGCAACUCGCCUACACGAAGUCGGAAUCGCUAGUAAUCGCGGAUCAGCACGCCGCGGUGAAUACGUUCCCGGGCCUUGUACACACCGCCCGUCACACCAUGAGAGUUUGUAACACCCGAAGCCGGUGGCGUAACCCUUUUAGGGAGCGAGCCGUCUAAGGUGGGACAAAUGAUUAG
rnacentral:rRNA from 1 species